CACGGAGCUGAAGUCAGUCGAAGAUACCAGCUGGCUGCAACUGUUUAUUAAAAACACAGCACUGUGCAAACACGAAAGUGGACGUAUACGGUGUGACGCCUGCCCGGUGCCGGAAGGUUAAUUGAUGGGGUCAGCGCAAGCGAAGCUCCUGAUCGAAGCCCCGGUAAACGGCGGCCGUAACUAUAACGGUCCUAAGGUAGCGAAAUUCCUUGUCGGGUAAGUUCCGACCUGCACGAAUGGCGUAAUGAUGGCCAGGCUGUCUCCACCCGAGACUCAGUGAAAUUGAACUCGCUGUGAAGAUGCAGUGUACCCGCGGCAAGACGGAAAGACCCCGUGAACCUUUACUAUAGCUUGACACUGAACAUUGAGCCUUGAUGUGUAGGAUAGGUGGGAGGCUUUGAAGUGUGGACGCCAGUCUGCAUGGAGCCGACCUUGAAAUACCACCCUUUAAUGUUUGAUGUUCUAACGUGGACCCGUUACCCGGGUUGCGGACAGUGUCUGGUGGGUAGUUUGACUGGGGCGGUCUCCUCCUAAAGAGUAACGGAGGAGCACGAAGGUUGGCUAAUCCUGGUCGGACAUCAGGAGGUUAGUGCAAUGGCAUAAGCCAGCUUGACUGCGAGCGUGACGGCGCGAGCAGGUGCGAAAGCAGGUCAUAGUGAUCCGGUGGUUCUGAAUGGAAGGGCCAUCGCUCAACGGAUAAAAGGUACUCCGGGGAUAACAGGCUGAUACCGCCCAAGAGUUCAUAUCGACGGCGGUGUUUGGCACCUCGAUGUCGGCUCAUCACAUCCUGGGGCUGAAGUAGGUCCCAAGGGUAUGGCUGUUCGCCAUUUAAAGUGGUACGCGAGCUGGGUUUAGAACGUCGUGAGACAGUUCGGUCCCUAUCUGCCGUGGGCGCUGGAGAACUGAGGGGGGCUGCUCCUAGUACGAGAGGACCGGAGUGGACGCAUCACUGGUGUUCGGGUUGUCAUGCCAAUGGCACUGCCCGGUAGCUAAAUGCGGAAGAGAUAAGUGCUGAAAGCAUCUAAGCACGAAACUUGCCCCGAGAUGAGUUCUCCCUGAGACUUUAGGUCUCCUGAAGGAACGUUGAAGACGACGACGUUGAUAGGCCGGGUGUGUAAGCGCAGCGAUGCGUUGAGCUAACCGGUACUAAUGAACCGUGAGGCUUAACCUU
rnacentral:rRNA from 1 species